rnacentral:tRNA from 1 species
GCAGGGAUGGCGGAGCGGUCAAACGCACCAGACUGUAAAUCUGGCCACGUGAGUGUACGGGGGUUCGAAUCCCUCUCCCUGCA